rnacentral:rRNA from 1 species
UACGUAGGUGGCGAGCGUUAUCCGGAAUUACUGGGCGUAAAGCGUGCGCAGGCGGUUUGCUAAGACAGGUGUGAAAUCCCCGGGCUUAACCUGGGAACUGCGCUUGUUACUGGCAGACUUGAGUGUGGCAGAGGGGGGUGGAAUUCCAGGUGUAGCAGUGAAAUGCGUAGAUAUCUGGAGGAACACCGAUGGCGAAGGCAGCCCCCUGGGUUAACACUGACGCUCAUGCACGAAAGCGUGGGGAGCAAACAGG